rnacentral:misc_RNA from 1 species
GUAGGUGAACCUGCGGAAGGAUCAUUACUGUGAAUUAACUUCCACACAUGCGUGAGCGCACAAAACACAUAAACCGUGAGUAUUUCUAGUCGAAACUUGAAAAAAAAAAAUACAAAACUUUCAACAACGGAUCUCUUGGUUCUC